rnacentral:SRP_RNA from 1 species
GCCGGGUGCGGUGGCGCGCGCCUGUAAUCCAAGCUACCGGGAGGCUGAGGCUGGCGGAUCGUUUGAGGUCAGGAGCUCUGAGCGGCAGGGGACGAUGCCGAUCGGGUGUCCGCACUAAGUUCGGCAUCGCUAUGGUGCUCCUGGGGGCGCUCGGGACCACCAGGUCGCCUCAGGAGGGGGGCACCGGCCAAGGUAAAACAAAGAGCAGGGCAAAGCCCCCGUGCCGCUCAGUAGUGGGAUCGCGCCUGUGAAUAGACGCUGUAGUGCAGCCUGAGUAAUACAGCGGGACCCAGUCUUUU